CUCCUCCUCCUCUACGACCUUAUCCUCUUCGUCGCGUACCUGCUGCUGGCACAUACGUCGACGCUGAGACGUUACGGUGGCGGUAACUUGAGUGUAUUUUCAAUAAUACGAGCCAAACUUCAGUUUGUUUAUCUACCGAUGACGCGUGUUUUACCAAUUCCUCCUCGGACGUGACAGAGUGCUUCUUGUUCCGGCUCACACGGAGCACAUCUCGGUUUCAAAACAUAUCUCGUCAAUCCGGCAACGGUUCGCAGCUUUCUUUUCAAAAGUUAUUCACUCUCGGUGAAUUAAUACUCGAUCAACCGAUGGCUCGUUGAGUGCGUAAGGAGUGAAGAAGCACGGCCUGACAUUUUAUCCGUAAAGUGCGGACAACGAGAGAAAUUCAAGUUCAACGGACUCUUGGAUGAUAAAUGUUGAAAAAGAGUGAGAUAAAAACAGACGACAGACCGAAUGUACGCCGGAUAGGAAUUGUCGUAUAAUUAGCGAGAGGAUCGACAUGGAUUACAAUUACCGAAGCGACGGAUCGUCGGACCCGGCAGCCGACGACAGGGUAGUUUUCUACAUCGACGAUCUAUCGACGCGUCCGGAAUCCUGCCAAAAUCCAAGCCCCGCGAUCUUCCAAUGCGGGGGCCUCGAGACGCCGGGACUUUAUCCCCCCGAGACGGGGAGACAUCCUUCGCGUUCUAACUCCGUUUACUCCCAAUCCGGAAGACCCCGACGUUCCAGGACGAUUACCGACGGAGAUAUUCACGUCGGGAGUCGUCGCGCCAGCCUCCACGGGGCGAGAUCACGGGCCAACAGCUGCACCGGGACGACUCCCCUAGGGGACGGGAGACGGGCGAGUGUCUGCAGAAAAAAUCGGCCAAAAAGGGGAAGCACGGUGCGUCGAAAGGGUUCGAUUCGUGCGAACGCAGGAAACAACGUCGUCGCGUCGACGGAAGUUGUCAAAAUCGCGGUUCCCCCGAUUGGGAACCCCGUCGAUAUCGCCCAGGAUCGAAGUCGUCGGAAAAUCGUUAUCAUUGUACUGUCAAUUUUCAUCUUCUUACUCGUCGCCUCGAUUCUCGUCGUCGUCAUCACCCUGACACACAGCUCGUUUCACAGCCUGCCCGCCGAUCCCGGAAAAGAAUCGGACGAUCGUCAAGAUAAAUAACUUCGGAGGGAGAACGAGGAGUUGUUGAGUUCACUGAGUCAAGACAGCUUCGUGCCUGAGAACACCACAGCUCAGCAGUGAAAAGUGAAGCAGCCUGUUAUAUGUAUACACACGUACGAUCGGAUCGACGGAGAGAACUAGAGGAGGGAAUAACGAUCCCACGCCUACGUUCGAUCAACGAGCACAUGUAAUUAUACAAAUUUUGAAUCCUGCAAAAAUAGAGGGGAGAAAAACGUGCGUAAAGAAUUUAUUUGUUCACCGCCUGGGUAUAAUUCCGCGAACUGAAAAAUCAUCUUCUCUCGCGCUGUAGAAAUAUUGAUAAUAUAUCACCAUACGGCACGUGGUAAUCGUACAUUUCGCAAGGAUUGAUUUAUUUUCAUUUCUAUAUAUAUAUAUAUAUAUAUAUAUGUUUUUUAAAUAAUUUCAGCAACAUUGAUUACUUGCCUAGGGAAAAUACUGUGUACGUCUGCAAUUCACAUAUCUUUUUUAGUUAUUUAAAUUUUGCUUUAUGCAUAAUGCGAUCAGACACAAAUCGCACUCAUCAAUUCGUCGAUUUAAAACUUGAAACUUUUUAUUCUUCGUUCUGGAAUAUCAACAUCUUUAACAAAUUUAUAUAAAUUAAUUAACUGCCCAUGUCAAAUUAUCGCGCAUAUAAUACGGCGCAUCGAUUUUCAUACUUACUCCAAUUUUUAGAUACGUUGAAUUUCUUCAAGUCUAGACAGAUAACAAAAAAAGAAUUAGGGGGUGAGAAUAUGUUACAAAUAAAUUGUGUAUAUCCCGGACAGAUUUUGCAGCUUGAAAAUAUUAUCCCAAUGUUUCACGCUAUACUUAGAUUCAUAUAAAAUUUGCUUGCAUUUAUUAACUGUCGCGACAACGAAAGAAUCCAUUGGUUUAGAAACUUUGUGCGAGGGAGAGGGAAAUUAGAAGAAAGAGAAAAAAAAGUCAUUUCCUCAGGUCACAAUCGUGAUCGCAGGUGAAUUACACGAUGCGUAGUUUGUUAUUAAUACCACAUACUGUACGAAAAAACGAAAUGUAAAUAUUUAUUAAGAAUUAUUAUACGGUUGCUAUGACUGUUAUACAUAUAUGUAUGCAUGUAUGUGUACAUAUGUAUAUCAUAUAUAUAUAUAUAUACAUACAUUAUACGUAAUAUAUGUAAAACAUGGUACGAUAGGAAUUGGUCAAUAUAAUUAAUUGUAUAUAACAGUAGAUGAUUGUCCGUGAGGAAUUAUUGCAGUCCACAUUAUAGACGCGACAAAAGGAAACGGAAUGUGAAAAGGGAAUGCAAAAAAAGCGUUCAUUUUGUCCGCGUUUAUCGUUUGUUAAAAUGCGAUUUAUAGGCAAGACUAUAAUGUUACUAAUAAUACAGGUUUAACGUGCCAAUGCCAUAACGUAAUAAUAUUGCAUACAUGUAAUUUUAAGUAUAAUAAAUGUAUAAUAAUAACAAAAACAACAACAACAACAACAAUAAUAAUGAUCAAUACACGAUUGUAUGAUUAAAAUAUGAUUAUCAAUUCAAUAUUAUACCUAUAAAUAUUUGUAACGCAUUUGCGCAUACAUAUAAAUACGUCGAAACUUGUUACAGUGUUUGUAAAUUAAAAUUGAAACCGAAUAUUAAAAACUUUUAUUAACAACGCACCUAGAUGCGUGCCGUGGUAUGUAAUAUGCCGUGAUACCGUGUGCAUGGAUAUAAUGUUGAAAAUGUAAGCAUGUAGGCGGGAUACGUUAUGCAAGAAUCUUUAUUAAUAAUAAUAAUAAUUAUAAUAGUAACGAUAAUGGAGUAAUAAUUAAUCCAACGCUGUUUUUGUUUUUUUCACAACUCGGGAAUAACGAUCAGUUAUCGACCUUGAUUGUCUAUAGAAAUGUUGUUAAUAAUUCUAUCUGAUUUUUUCUACCAGUCAUAUUGAAACAAGUCUUCUUGUGUAUUAAUAUAUUUUUUGUUUCUGACGCACGCCUAGUAUUUACUCGAAUUAGUGUAUUCUAAAGGUUUUCUUAAAAUAAUGACUUUCAGUAUAAUUUUUUUGAAUAAUUUUUUAAAAAGAAUUGCAAGUGACAUAAAACGAAAUAUACGAGUACAUACUUCGUUUUUCCAUUUUGCUAUGCAGGAAUGGAACAGUUAGUUUGAUGCUAUCUGAGCCAGUUUUUUCUUGGGCUUUAAUGGGUUAAAUCAAUUCAAGAAUUAGGAGUUGGUUUAAAUUAAUCCUGUACGUAUAAACUGUUGACAGUGAAAGAUAUGUACGUUUAUAAUACGAAAACUUAUCGCAGGCCGGAGAGGCCGAUUGUCGGUUUGCAGCUCUGUUUUUGCAUUUUCAAUAGACCAACGGCCGUCCCUGAGUACUUCUAAAUUUCAUAAUAUACCGUGCCAAUUUCUUACAUUUCACAGUCUCCUGUAAUUGAGAAAAUAAGCUGGACUUGAUUAAAAAGGGAUCGAACGACAUCUUGUAAAUAUGCAUUACCUUUGCCUCUAAGGGUGUUAUGACAAAAUUGUUCUAUUGGUAAAAAACGUGAAUAAAAAAUAAAGAAAACUCCAGACGUCGCGCGAGUGUAAGUAAUAUUAAUAAUACGUCAGAUGUACAUACAUAGUGUG
rnacentral:misc_RNA from 1 species